rnacentral:rRNA from 1 species
GUGCCAGCCGCCGCGGUAAUACCGGCAGCCCGAGUGAUGGCCGCUGUUAUUGGGCCUAAAGCGUCCGUAGCUGGCCGCACAAGUCCGUCGGGAAAUCCGCCCGCUCAACGGGCGGCCGUCCGGCGGAACCUGUGUGGCUUGGGACCGGGAGGCCUGAGGGGUACGAUCGGGGUAGGAGUGAAAUCCUGUAAUCCCGCUCGGACCGCCGAUGGGGAAACCACCUCAGGAGAACGGAUCCGACGGUCAGGGACGAAAGCUUGGGUCUCGAACCGGAUUAGAUACCCGGGUAGUCC